GGGAGGUAGGCUGUACCCUGCAAAGUCACAUGGGUGGAGCUGCCCAAGACCAUGGGAACCCACCUCUUGCAUCAGCAUAACCUGGAUGUGAGACCAGGAGUCAAAGCAGAUCAUUUUGGAUCAUUUAAAAUUUGAGAACCCCUCUGGAUUUCAGACUUGCACGGGCCCUGUAACCCCUUCGUUUUGGCCAAUUUCUCCCAUUUGGAAGGACUGUGUUUACACAAUACCUGUACCCGCCAUUGGAUCUAAGAAGUAACUAGCUUGCUUUUGAUUUUACAGGCUCAUAGGCAGAAGGGACUUGCCUUGUCUCAGAUGAGACUUUGGACUGUGGGACCUUUGGAUUAAUGCUGAAAUAAUUUAAGACUUUGGGGACUGUUGGGAAGGCAUGAUUGGUUUUGAAAUGUGAGGACAUGAGAUUUGGAGGGGCCGGGGCAGAAUGAUAUGGGUUGGCUGUGUCCCCACCCAAAUUUCAACUUGAAUUGUAUGUCCCAGCAUUCCCAUGUGUUGUUAAAGGGACCCAGGAACGGGGAGAUUGUGGGUAACUGAAACAUGGGGCCAGUCCUUCCUGUGCUAUUCUCAUGAUAGUGAAUAAGAUUCAUGAGAUCUGAUGGGUUUAUCAGGGGUUUCUGCUUUUGCUUCUUUCUCAUUUUUAUCUUGCCACCACCAUGUAAGAAGUACCUUUUGUCUUCCACCAUGAUUCUGAGGCCUCCCUAGCCAUGUGGAACUGUAAGUCCAAUUAAACCUCUUUUUCUUCCCAGUUUUGGGUAUGUUUUUAUCAGCAGCAUGAAAAUCAACUAAUACAGAUGGCUAGUAAGGGACUAACCGGCAGGGAGUGUCUCCAGUGUGGAUAUGGUGGACAAAGGGACGAUUCACAUUCCAGGGCAUAAGAUUUCAUUGCUCAGAAUCGCACACAAUUGAAAACUUACUGUUUAUUUCUGGAAUUUUCCAUUUAAUGUUUUCAAACUGUGGUUGACUGCAGGUAACUGAAACUGUCAAAAGGGAAACCACAGAUAAGUGGGGAGUCCUGUACCUAAAAUUAUUCUUUUAAGUUAUUCAGUGAAUAUGUAGGAACCUGAGUGUGACGCGAAAGCAGCAGCAUGAAAACCUGAGGGAAAUUUAGAUAGCAAAAGAAACUCAUUUACUAUACUGGCAUGACAGAGGAACCAAGAAGUUAUCAUGUUAUUUUGAGAAUCUAAGAAUUAAAGAAUUAAACCUUUGAGGGAAGGAAGGGGGAGUGUGGCUUUUAAUCAGGUUGACAUUGGCUCUGGGGGUUAUUUUUCCUUCCUUUAUAUUAAUAUGAAUAUAGACACAACUGUCUUCAUUUUUACAAACAAGGAAACCAAGCCCAGAGAUACUGAGUAGUAGGCCACUGGCGUCUCAGAGGUCUGAAAAAUCCUUUACUGAAAAUUCUCUUGAUCUGUUAAUGUGUAGGCUUUAUUGCUGUAACCCUCUCCCUAAGUUGAGUGAAUAUAAAUGAUGCAGUUUGGAUGAACUAUCUUAAUAUGAACCUAAAGUUGAAACAAUACAAACCUCUCUCAAUAAAUGCAAAGCAAAGGGAAUAAUCAGUCUUUCUUUGGCUUGCUAAAUAAGAUAAAAUGUGUUCUGCUAAAAUCAUUUAACAGCAAUAUUGUGAAAGGCUUCCCCUAAAGCAUUUUUCUAUUUGAUUUGAAAACUAUUCCAUAGCUUAUUAUCAAACAAAUCAGUAAUCCUUUAGCUAAUGCAGAGAUAAAUGGGCAAUCAGAAAAUAUAAUCACCUGGUGUGUGCAGCUGAGUAUUGACAUUUUUCCUAAUGAACAAAGAUAAGAAAAGUGCAGGUGACUUUAAUGUGUAAAAACUACCUUUUAGUGCUAGUGCUAGAGGGAAAAAAGAAAUGUCUGGCUCAAGCCAAUGCUGUACUUGAUAAUUAAACCUGUAUAGUCCAUGGCUUGGCUUCAGCUCUGUUUUGAAUCUCCUUUUGGACUUGUCUUGAAUGGACUGUUUAGGGCUGCCUCAAUAAUGCAGUUGUUGCAUUUUUAAGGAUAGUUUAAAAGAUUUUCGAAUGUUUCUGGUCCUUCUUUUUUUCUUUUCCACUUUAUGUUGCUUAAAACUUUAUGGCAGGUUUUCUGAACCUCAGCAUUAUUGACAUUUGAAGCUGGAUACUUCUUUGUGGUGGGGGCUGCCCUGCGCCUUGCAGGAUGGUUAGCAGCAUCCCUCACCUCCUCUCACUAGAUGCCGAUAGCAUUUCCCCAGCCGUGAUAACCAAAAAUGUUUCCAGACAUUGUCAAAUGUCUCCAAUAGGGAGCAAUUUUGCUCCCUGUUGAGAACUACUGUGCUACAGUAUUUGGACAAAAACUGACAAGCAAAUGAGCAUAUACCCAUUCUAUCUGUAGUUGUAAAGAAUAACUCCAGUUUUUACAGCUGUAUUUCUGGAAAUUUUUCCCAUAUUAAUAUUUGCUUUCUGAGGAGAUAAUAUCUUUGUUUUUUCUCCCAAAUAAAUUUCUUGCAUUACACUGAAAAACUGCUGAUUAAUUCACUUAAAUUGAAGACUAAGCCAAUCAUAUCAUUCGGGUAAUAGUUUAUUAACUCUGUCCCUUUCUCUGUCAGAUACAGCCUCUAAUUUAGUAAGCAACACUGUAUCCUGUUGUCAGGUACAUUACCACUGUUGUUAGCAGUAGGGCAAUUGAGAUUGAGAAAGAUUAAAAAGUCACCUAGCUAUUACAUUGUAGAGUUAGGUUAUGAUUUGUAACCUAUCUGGUUUAAAGUCUUCACCUUACUAGUCUCCAUAACAGCAGUUCUUCCAGUGUGGUCCAUGGGGCCCUGGGAGUCUCCCCUGAAAUGGCAGACUAUUUUCACAGUAACACAUACUGUAUUUGCCAUUUCAUUGUGUUGACAUUUGCACUGAUGGUACAAAAACAAAGAUGAGCAAAACUGUUGGUAUCUUAGUGUAUAGUAGUUACUGUAUUCACUGCUAUGCGCUUACAGUCUUUGAAGAAGCAAAAAAAAAAAAUUAAUUCUGUUAAAUCUCAACCCUUAAAUACAUGUGGUCUUUCUCACAUCACUGUGAGAAAAUGGAAGAUGCAUAAUCUACUUAUAUCACAUAUAGCAUUUGAUAGUUAUCUCAAAGAAAAGCGUGUAUAAGAUUAAACUGUGAGUUGAACAAUCCACUUUUUUUCAUGGAAUACCACGAGACAUAAACUAUAGUUCAGCCUUGGGUAUUUGGUGAGGUUUCCCCAAAAAUGACUGAAGUAAACUUAGCACUUAAGGAAAACAAAGUACCUGUUGCCAAUUGAUAAAAUAUAGGUUUCAAGCAAAAAUUAGAAUUUUUGAAGACUUGUAUCUGCCGCUGUGAGCUUGACAAAUGUGACUCUUUUAUAUUAUAUAAUGAACUAUGUCAACAUUUGAAAGAUCUGCACAACUCAGUGAACCAAUAUUUUCCAAAUGACUAAUGCAUGAUAUGACAAAAUUAUGCAUGGGUAAAAGAUACAUUCAAAGUGAAAGAGAGAUUAACAGAUUUCAAUGUAACAAUUAGUCAAAAAUUCAUUGCUAACAGUCUUGGAUUCCACAUUGCCACACUAAAACCUUUAAAAAACUAAACUGAAAUUUUGGUGUAGUAUCAAAAAAGGAAAUCUAUAAUUACCCGAACUUAAGUUUCUGGAGGACCAUUAACCUUCUCCAGGCUCAGGGAGAAGGCGAUAGCACUUCUCUUUCCCUAAGAUCCUCCAGGAAGGAAGAAGGAGUUAUAGGGGGAGAAGAAAAGAUAAUCCUUGGGGGAGGGGUAGAGACCUAUUGUGUGAUGAAACCAAGUAUGUAACAAUGGAUUAUAUAACUCUAAUAUAUAUAAUCCACACAAACCCCUAAAAUGGCACAAAUAAGGGAAUAGAAGUCAAGUCAGCUAGCCACUGUCACACAGCUGUUAGAGCACUGGAGCUAGGAUUUGAACCCAGAUUUGUCUGUUUGUAAAGCUGAUUCUCUCCGUGAUAGUACUGAGACACAAGAGGCGGCUUCAAAAUAUUCUGGUACUCCUUCCUAGACCAGAGUUUCAAGGUUCGCUAUCGUUUGUAGCAUGAUACUGUAUCCUCACAGUGCCUGGCUUUCAUUCAGGUGCCAGGAAGUGUCUGCCUGAAUAUGCAUCUCAAAUUGUGUGAUUAACUCAUAAUCCAUCCAUGACUGUUUCACCCGUAAUCCUCCUUGUAUCAGUUGCUUUGCUUGCAAGAAAAUUAAUUAGAAAUAUUUGGCUUUAUGGAUGGUUUUCUCUCUCUGAAUUCUAACAUAAACUCAGUCUCAGGAAUUACUCAGUUUCUACCACAUUUGCCAUUCUGACUGGGAACCACCAGCCUUCAGGUAUUUACCUGGAACAAGGCAUUUUGUUCUGAGGGUUCUUCACUUAAAAGCAAGCACCCUAGCAUAAUGGGACUUCUUAACGUUCUCAGAAUGUUUGGCACAGCUGUAAACACACAUUGAGCAAUCAAUAACUAUUACAGAUAAUGAUGCCCUUAAGACCAGGACAUUGUAGCUUUUCCAUUCAAAGGGGGUAAAAUAUGCACUCUUACUGUGGUAUACUUUUGGUUCCUUCGGCCAUGUAUCCUUAAUUAAAGAUGUCAAUUCCAUGUGGUUUUCUCUUGAGUUCUAACCAUUUUGUUGUACCCUAGCCCUUGGCAACUGAACGCCAUUUAGCAUUCAUCCAUUUUCUCCAAUGGCGUUCAUUAUAGGCUAUCUUAGUCCUCUUAUUUCUGUGACAAAAAUUGAUUUUUUCCACUGAUGUCUAUGGUACAUCUGGCAGCUUUCCAUGUACUCAAUUCUUAUCUGAUGUAGCCCAGAAUGACUGCCUGAAGGGAUGCCAAAAGCCUGAUUUAGGUUCCAGAUUUUUAGCUACUGUACUAUCAGUCCAUUAGUUCAUUUCAUUUUUAUUUUCCCUUGUCAUCUGUAGCAUACAGUUGAGUGGCUUAAACAUGUUUUUCAUAUAUUCUAAGUUUUAAGAAUUUGGGAAUACUGUCCUAGGAUUUAGAUUUAAUAUUACCUUCCAUUUAUAUAAUGCUUCCUCAUAAAAUCUUCAGUGUUACUGAAAAAGAAAAAGGAACAUGUAUUGAGUUCCUGCUAGAAGCAGGAACGUGUAUUAGAUUUUCUGUGUGUUAUCUUAUUUUCACAACACACAUACACAGGUGAUAUCCUUCCCAGUUUACUGAUGAGGAAACUCAGGGGUCAGGGUAGUAGAUACCUACCCAAGGUAACAGAAGCUGUGAAGUGGUACAGCUGGAAUCUAAAACAUGUCAGUUUAACCAUAGACAGGCUCCCUUAUCAUCCAUCUGCUACUGCCUGGAUGACUGCAUCCAGGGGUGAUGACUUCAUUUUCACAGGGGUAUUGAGAGCUAAAACUACAAAGUACCCAAAGUAUUAUUUAAAAUAUUAAUACAUAGUAUAUAUGCAUACGUGUGUGUACAUAAUUCGUUGGGGAAAUAUUACAGAAUACUUUUCUAACCUUUAAACCAUGUACUCAUUUUCUGUAAACUAAUAUACAAACAAUUGGUUGGUCCCUAAAAAUAGAUAUCAGGUGACAGAGACUGGCUAAGCAGGGAAUAGGAGCAUCUUCAGAAUAGAAGCCAGGGAACAUUUUACUUCCCCAACACAUUGUUGCACCGUUCACUGUUCCAGGACCUUCCUACAUUGCUGUAAAACUCUGGCCCAGAGCAGCUCCUCUACAUUAGUCACAAGUUUCCACUGAUCAGGAGUGGCAUGUGCCAGACCUACAGCAGAGUCAUUUCAGGUUAUUGUCUUCUGUUACAGGCUUUCAAUAUGUAGUAAGUCCACUCACCCAAAUCUAGCAGGGAAUCAGUGCCUUGUAACACGGAAGCAUCUAGAAAUUCUUCUUAAUACUGUUCAGAGGACAAUGUUGAAACCCUAGGCCUUUUCCCAGAAUUAGGGUGGUGGGAAUGCUGUCCUGUUGACUAAGCCUGUUAGGUAAACAGACAGUUGGCAAGGUUCAGGAAGCUUCAUUUGAGGAUAGAAUUUAGGGGGAGCUUUUGGAUUUACUGGCUUAAUUAGUUAAGGUAACAUUUGUAAAAGAAAGUGUCAUUCUACAGUUAUUACCUUUUAACUUUUAUUCCUAAACAGAAGAACAGCAACAAAAUGUUACUUAAUAAAUACAAUUUCUAACCAGAUUGAUAACUAGAAAAAAUUUUAAGUUAUUUUGCUCUGUGAAUUAGUUUAAACAUAUUUGUAAUUGAAAUUUACUACUAUUAUUGGCUGAAAUAAAUAAAAGCAUGAGAUAAUAAAGGUUGACAAAGAGACAACUAACAUCCAAUUUAAGUUUAUUUCUAAGUGCCAUCUUUUUUAGAGAAAAGUUAAAUUCAGAAAAGUUUAGAGGAGUACUGUUAUGUUUCUGAACUUGUAUAGGUGAUAAA